rnacentral:rRNA from 1 species
CCUACGGGUGGCAGCAGUCGAGAAUCAUUCACAAUGGGGGAAACCCUGAUGGUGCGACGCCGCGUGGGUGAAUGAAGGUCUUCGGAUUGUAAACCCCUUUCAUGUGGGGGCAAAUUAAAAAGAUAAUACCACAAGAGGAAGAGACUGCUAACACGGUUCCAGCAGCCGCGGUAAUACAGAGGUCUCAAGCGUUGUUCGGAAUCACUGGGCGUAAAGCGUGCGUAGGCUGUUUCGUGAGUCGUGUGUGAAAGGCUCGGGCUUAACCCGCGGACGGCACAUGAUACUGCGAGACUAGAGUAAUGGAGAGGGAAGCGGAAUUCUCGGUGGAGCAGUGAAAUGCGUAGAUAUCGGGAGGAACACUCGUGGCGAAGGCGGGUUCCUGGACAUUAACUGACGCUGAGGCACGAAGGCCAGGGGAGCGAACGGGAUUAGAUACCCGGGUAGUC